UACGGGAGGCAGCAGUGGGGAAUAUUGCACAAUGGGCGCAAGCCUGAUGCAGCCAUGCCGCGUGUAUGAAGAAGGCCUUCGGGUUGUAAAGUACUUUCAGUCGUGAGGAAGGUGUUAAGGUUAAUAACCUUAGCAAUUGACGUUAGCGACAGAAGAAGCACCGGCUAACUCCGUGCCAGCAGCCGCGGUAAUACGGAGGGUGCGAGCGUUAAUCGGAAUUACUGGGCGUAAAGGGCACGCAGGCGGUUAAUUAAGUUGGAUGUGAAAUCCCCGGGCUUAACCUGGGAAUGGCAUUCAAGACUGGUUAGCUAGAGUCUUGUAGAGGGGGUAGAAUUCCAUGUGUAGCGGUGAAAUGCGUAGAGAUGUGGAGGAAUACCGGUGGCGAAGGCGGCCCCUGGACAAAGGCUGACGCUCAUGUGCGAAAGCGUGGGGAGCAAA
rnacentral:rRNA from 1 species